GACGAACGCUGGCGGCGUGCUUAACACAUGCAAGUCGAACGAAGAGCGACGGAAGCUUGCUUCUAUCAAUCUUAGUGGCGAACGGGUGAGUAACGCGUAAUCAACCUGCCCUUCAGAGGGGGACAACAGUUGGAAACGACUGCUAAUACCGCAUACGAUCUAAUCUCGGCAUCGAGGAUGGAUGAAAGGUGGCCUCUACAUGUAAGCUAUCACUGAAGGAGGGGAUUGCGUCUGAUUAGCUAGUUGGAGGGGUAACGGCCCACCAAGGCGAUGAUCAGUAGCCGGUCUGAGAGGAUGAACGGCCACAUUGGGACUGAGACACGGCCCAGACUCCUACGGGAGGCAGCAGUGGGGAUUCUUCCGCAAUGGACGAAAGUCUGACGGAGCAACGCCGCGUGAGUGAUGACGGCCUUCGGGUUGUAAAGCUCUGUUAAUCGGGACGAAAGGCCUUCUUGCGAAUAGUGAGAAGGAUUGACGGUACCGGAAUAGAAAGCCACGGCUAACUACGUG
rnacentral:rRNA from 1 species